AACGAACGCUGGCGGCAUGCCUAACACAUGCAAGUCGAACGAGACCUUCGGGUCUAGUGGCGCACGGGUGCGUAACGCGUGGGAACCUGCCCUUAGGUUCGGAAUAACUCCCCGAAAGGGGUGCUAAUACCGGAUAAUGUCUUCGGACCAAAGCUUUAUCGCCUUUGGAUGGGCCCGCGUUGGAUUAGCUAGUUGGUAGGGUAAAAGCCUACCAAGGCGACGAUCCAUAGCUGGUCUGAGAGGAUGAUCAGCCACACUGGGACUGAGACACGGCCCAGACUCCUACGGUGGGCAGCAGUGGGGAAUAUUGGACAAUGGGCGAAAGCCUGAUCCAGCAAUGCCGCGUGAGUGAUGAAGGCCUUAGGGUUGUAAAGCUCUUUUACCCGGGAUGAUAAUGACAGUACCGGGAGAAUAAGCUCCGGCUAACUCCGUG
rnacentral:rRNA from 1 species